AAUGAACGCUGGCGGCGUGCUUAACACAUGCAAGUCGAACGCGAACGUCACUUCGGUGGCUAGUAGGGUGGCGAACGGGUGAGUAACACGUGGAUAACCUGCCUAGGUGUGGGGGAUAACUUUUGGAAACGGAAGCUAAUACCGCAUACGCUCGAGGACCGCAUGGUCCUCGCGGAAAGACCGCCUCUUCUUGAAAGCGGUUGCAUUUAGAGGGAUCCGCGGCUGAUUAGCUAGUUGGUGGGGUAACGGCCUACCAAGGCGACGAUCAGUAGCCGGCCUGAGAGGGCGAUCGGCCACACUGGAACUGAGACACGGUCCAG
rnacentral:rRNA from 1 species